CCUACGGGUGGCAGCAGUGAGGAAUAUUGGUCAAUGGACGAGAGUCUGAACCAGCCAAGUAGCGUGAAUGAUGACUGCCCUAUGGGUUGUAAACUUCUUUUAUAUGGGAAUAAAAUGUUCCGCGUGUGGGAUUUUGUAUGUACCAUAUGAUUAAGGAUCUGCUAACUCCGUGCCAGCAGCCGCGGUAAUCCGGAGGAUCCGAGCGUUAGCCGGAUUUCUUGGGUUUAGAGGGAGCGUAGGUGGGUUGUAAAGUCAGUUGUGAAAGUUUGCGGCUUAACCGUAACAUUGCGGUGGAAACUGGCAGUCGUGAGUACAGUAGAGGUGGGCGGAAUUCGUGGUGUAGCGGUGAAAUGCUUAGAUAUCACGAAGAACUCCGAUUGCGAAGGCAGCUCACUGGACUGCAACUGACACUGAGGCUCGAAAGUGUGGGUAUCAAACAGGAUUAGAUACCCCUGUAGUC
rnacentral:rRNA from 1 species